UGUUCAAAUUACUUCCAGGAAUACCACUGCUAGUCAGCUAGCUUGUCCCUUUGCCUGCUGUAUUUAUAAAAAGUGAACCUGGUGGACGGCUGUUGCACCCCGGGAUGCCAAAAUAGUCGAGGUCAGGAAAAAGGGGGAACGUUUUAUCGGAUUCCCAAAGACCCUGAAAGAUGACUGGAUUACUGCCAUAAAACCUGCUAGAAGCCGACAGAGGAAAAUGGGGCGGUGGGAGCCCAGAGACAACGGUCUCCGCUUAUGUAGUGAUCUCCUCACAUCAGGCUGCUGAAAAAUUGGUCCUUCGGGGAUGGUUAUGUCUGGACUGUUCUUUCCUGAAGACUUAAAACUGUGAUCCCUCUGGCAUGCAUUGGAUUCAAGUAAAAAGAAGAGGAGAUGAAGUUGUCCUCCUCCACAAGGAC